rnacentral:rRNA from 1 species
UACGGGGGGAGCAAGCGUUGUUCGGAUUUACUGGGCGUAAAGGGCGCGUAGGCGGCCACCGCAAGUCGGUUGUGAAAUCUCCGGGCUUAACCCGGAAAGGUCAAUCGAUACUGCGGGGCUAGAGUGCAGAAGGGGCAACUGGAAUUCUCGGUGUAGCGGUGAAAUGCGUAGAUAUCGAGAGGAACACCUGCGGCGAAGGCGGGUUGCUGGGCUGACACUGACGCUGAAGCGCGAAAGCGUGGGUAGCAAACAGG